rnacentral:rRNA from 1 species
CACACGACUCUCGGCAACGGAUAUCUCGGCUCUCGCAUCGAUGAAGAACGUAGUGAAAUGCGAUACCUGGUGUGAAUUGCAGAAUCCCGCGAACCAUCGAGUCUUUGAACGCAAGUUGCGCCCGAGGCCACUCGGCCGAGGGCACGCCUGCCUGGGCGUCACGC